rnacentral:lncRNA from 1 species
AUUUUUUUUCAUGAUGUUGUUUGUUUUUAGCAUUUCAUAUUGGAAGGAGGGAUAUCUAUGCAUGGGGAAAACUCCAGAAAUUAUGAAAACUCUGAAGGACAGCAUGGCCAUUUUGGAAAAGCAAGACAAAAAACAAGAUCUAGAGUGUACGAAGAGUCACUAAGAGGCACAAAUAUGAAGGAAGGACAUUUGCAAGAACUGGCCAGAGAUCUAUAAAUCAGAUGUUGAAAUAGGAGAGGUAUAGGACCCAAAGACCUGGCUGGAGAAGGUAGAAUCCCAGAUCGAAAGACAGCAGAUCAGGAUCAAGACCUGUUCAAGUUCCCUUGAUGGGUGCUCAUUUAUGUGCUGCUUGGAUGCUUGCGGCUCCAAUUCAAGAACUAUCAAAGGUUAAGUAUUCUUGAAAUAAUAUUCAAAUCUAAUUUACACCUACGCACUUUCUGUGUUGAGUAUGCCGUCGUCUUCUCCCAUGCCUUGUCCAUUCUAAGACCUCUUUGAAAUCUCCCCCACGUACCCACCAGCUCGAUGAGCGAACAGUUGCUGCGGUAUGAGGAAGGGCGGGUUUAACCUUAUAUACUAUCAUCAGUUUCCAAGGCUGUAAAGUAGGUAGAUGAGGUUUUGCAGCGUCAGAGAAAAGUUCUGGGAAGACCAGAGUUCUAAGGCAGGCAAUAAAGGCAUGCCCUUAAAGGGU